AGUCGAGCGAAUGGAUUAAGAGCUUGCUCUUAUGAAGUUAGCGGCGGACGGGUGAGUAACACGUGGGUAACCUGCCCAUAAGACUGGGAUAACUCCGGGAAACCGGGGCUAAUACCGGAUAACAUUUUGAACUGCAUGGUUCGAAAUUGAAAGGCGGCUUCGGCUGUCACUUAUGGAUGGACCCGCGUCGCAUUAGCUAGUUGGUGAGGUAACGGCUCACCAAGGCAACGAUGCGUAGCCGACCUGAGAGGGUGAUCGGCCACACUGGGACUGAGACACGGCCCAGACUCCUACGGGAGGCAGCAGUAGGGAAUCUUCCGCAAUGGACGAAAGUCUGACGGAGCAACGCCGCGUGAGUGAUGAAGGCUUUCGGGUCGUAAAACUCUGUUGUUAGGGAAGAACAAGUGCUAGUUGAAUAAGCUGGCACCUUGACGGUACCUAACCAGAAAGCCACGGCUAACUACGUGCCAGCAGCCGCGGUAAUACGUAGGUGGCAAGCGUUAUCCGGAAUUAUUGGGCGUAAAGCGCGCGCAGGUGGUUUCUUAAGUCUGAUGUGAAAGCCCACGGCUCAACCGUGGAGGGUCAUUGGAAACUGGGAGACUUGAGUGCAGAAGAGGAAAGUGGAAUUCCAUGUGUAGCGGUGAAAUGCGUAGAGAUAUGGAGGAACACCAGUGGCGAAGGCGACUUUCUGGUCUGUAACUGACACUGAGGCGCGAAAGCGUGGGGAGCAAACAGGAU
rnacentral:rRNA from 1 species